AACGAACGCUGGCGGCAGGCCUAACACAUGCAAGUCGAACGCCGUAGCAAUACGGAGUGGCAGACGGGUGAGUAACGCGUGGGAACAUACCCCUGGUUCGGAAUAACUCAGGGAAACUUGAGCUAAUACCGGAUACGUCCGAUGUUUUAAUCGACCUUGGAGAAAGAUUUAUCGCCGGAGGAUUGGCCCGCGUCUGAUUAGCUUGUUGGUGAGGUAAUGGCUCACCCAAGGCGACGAUCAGUAGCCGGUCUGAGAGGAUGAUCAGCCACAUUGGGACUGAGACACGGCCCAAACUCCUACGGGAGGCAGCAGUGGGGAAUAUUGGACAAU
rnacentral:rRNA from 1 species